GAUCCUGGCUCAGGAUGAACGCUAGCUACAGGCUUAACACAUGCAAGUCGAGGGGCAGCAUGUCGGUUGCUUGCAACCGACGAUGGCGACCGGCGCACGGGUGAGUAACGCGUAUCCAACCUACCCUUGUCCAUCGGAUAACCCGUCGAAAGGCGGCCUAACACGAUAUGCGGUUCACCGCAGGCAUCUAAGGUGAACGAAAUGUGAAGGAGAAGGAUGGGGAUGCGUCUGAUUAG
rnacentral:rRNA from 1 species